GAUGAACGCUGGCGGCGUGCCUAAUACAUGCAAGUCGAGCGAACGGACGAGAAGCUUGCUUCUCUGAUGUUAGCGGCGGACGGGUGAGUAACACGUGGAUAACCUACCUAUAAGACUGGGAUAACUUCGGGAAACCGUAGCUAAUACCGGAUAAUAUUUUGAACCGCAUGGUUCAAAAGUGAAAGACGGUCUUGCUGUCACUUAUAGAUGGAUCCGCGCUGCAUUAGCUAGUUGGUAAGGUAACGGCUUACCAAGGCAACGAUGCAUAGCCGACCUGAGAGGGUGAUCGGCCACACUGGAACUGAGACACGGUCCAGACUCCUACGGGAGGCAGCAGUAGGGAAUCUUCCGCAAUGGGCGAAAGCCUGACGGAGCAACGCCGCGUGAGUGAUGAAGGUCUUCGGAUCGUAAAACUCUGUUAUUAGGGAAGAACAUAUGUGUAAGUAACUGUGCACAUCUUGACGGGACCUAAUCAGAAAGCCACGGCUAACUACGUG
rnacentral:rRNA from 1 species